ensembl:lncRNA
GAGCUGUUAGUCCACAUCCUGAGAAGUCCCUUCAGACGCUCCAACUGUACAGCACAGCAGCUGUAAAAUCUCUGGGUAAAGCAAUUGAACGUGGAUGGUGAAGGAUGCCUAGGAAGAAGAGAAGUGGAUUGUUUGCCAGGAUCCAUCAAAUGGUCAGUGACCGGACUGGGUGGUCCGGGGCGUGACGUCUGAGACUAAGACUAAGAAGAUGCAGAACCUGUAAUGUAUAUUGGUACUCACUCUUCACUGCUGACGCCCAUGAGACCUGGAACAGACAAGAGGAAGAAAACAGACCAGAAAAGACAUCAGACAGUCCAUCUUAAAUGUUUUAUCCCUUUGUUCUUUAACAAUACCACCUGCAGACUGUGCCGGCUACCUGAAGAGCAACCACCAUCUUCCUCUCUGUCUCA